GACGAACGCUGGCGGCGUGCUUAACACAUGCAAGUCGAACGAGGCGCUUGCGCCUAGUGGCGAACGGGUGAGUAACACGUGAGCAACCUGCCCCUGGCUCUGGGAUAGCCUCCGGAAACGGGGAUUAAUACCGGACAUGACCUCCUGCCGCAUGGCGGGGGGUGGAAAGUUUUUCGGCCAGGGAGGGGCUCGCGGCCUAUCAGCUUGUUGGGGGGGUAACGGCCCACCAAGGCGACGACGGGUAGCCGGCCUGAGAGGGCGACCGGCCACACUGGGACUGAGACACGGCCCAGACUCCUACGGGAGGCAGCAGUGGGGAAUAUUGCGCAAUGGGGGAAACCCUGACGCAGCGACGCCGCGUGCGGGAUGAAGGCCUUCGGGUUGUAAACCGCUUUCACCAGGGACGAAGCGAGAGUGACGGUACCUGGGGAAGAAGCGCCGGCUAACUACGUGCCAGCAGCCGCCGUAAUAC
rnacentral:rRNA from 1 species